UACGAAGGGGGCUAGCGUUGUUCGGAAUUACUGGGCGUAAAGCGCACGUAGGCGGAUAUUUAAGUCGGGGGUGAAAUCCCGGGGCUCAACCCCGGAACUGCCUUCGAUACUGGGUAUCUUGAGUUCGGAAGAGGUGAGUGGAAUUGCGAGUGUAGAGGUGAAAUUCGUAGAUAUUCGCAGGAACACCAGUGGCGAAGGCGGCUCACUGGUCCGAUACGUGACGCUGAGGUGCGAAAGCGUGGGGAGCAAACAGG
rnacentral:rRNA from 1 species